AUUUCUUGUGUUAUCCAAAGCCAGCAACUGGUGCAGCUUUCUCUCCUCCUCCUUAAAACAGUGCUUAACCAAAAAAGAAAAGAAAAACCACCAGCUUUCUCUCUCUCUCCUCAGACUUCACUCUCCUCUUCUUCCUUACCAUAAGAAAACCAAGCUGAGAUGAAGUCAGCAGCGGCUACACCACAGGCAUUUGUAGACUGAACCAACUCAGCCAACCUGUUCCUUACGAUGAAUGUAGGGCAGCGGCCUCAUCCCACGCGCGUUUGGAGUAAUCUCCACGCGCGACCUCAACCACCACCACCACCACCACCACCAGCAGAAUCGUCAGUCUACAACAUAAUCCCAAUACACGACCUACUCACGGACCACCCUUCUCUCCGGUAUCCGGAGGUCCGAGCAGCUGCCUCUUCCCUUCGCACGGUCGGCGACCUCCGUAAACCACCGUAUGUAACAUGGGACCCGCACUGGGACUUGAUGGACUGGCUUGGUGUCUUCUUUGGGUUUCAGAACGACAGCGUUAGGAACCAGAGAGAACACCUAGUUCUUCACUUAGCAAACUCCCAAAUGCGGCUUGAAAAGCCGCCGCUUGUCCCUGACGCGCUCGACCCCGCCGUUCUCCGCCGGUUUCGGAAGAAGUUGUUGGGAAACUACACUUCUUGGUGCUCUUAUUUGAGGCGUAAGUCGGAGGUGAUUAUACCGAAAGCUAGGGAUGACAAUAGUCUUCGCCGUGAAUUGCUUUAUGUUGGGCUUUUUCUCCUUGUUUGGGGAGAAUCUGCAAAUCUGCGCUUCGUGCCGGAGUGUAUUUGUUAUAUUUAUCAUCAUAUGGCAAUGGAAUUGAAUAAAGUUCUUGAUGAUUGGCCUGACCCUAAUACGGGUAGGGCUUUUUUGCCUUCAAUUUCUGGUGAUUGUGCGUUUUUGAAGAGUAUUGUUAUGCCAUUUUAUAAGACUAUUAAGACUGAGGUUGAGAGUAGUCGAAAUGGGAGUAAGCCGCAUUCGGCUUGGAGGAAUUAUGAUGAUAUAAAUGAGUUUUUUUGGAGUAGGAGGUGUUUUAGGAAGUUAAAAUGGCCUAUUGACUUCUCGUGUAAUUUUUUCGCUGAUGUUGAGAAGAUUAGGAGAGUAGGGAAGACAGGUUUUGUGGAGCAAAGGUCAUUCUGGAAUGUGUUUAGGAGUUUCGAUAAGCUUUGGGUUCUGCUGAUUUUGUAUUUCCAAGCUAGUCUGAUUGUUGCUUGGGAGAGGACUGAAUAUCCGUGGCAGGCGUUGGAGAGGCGAGAUGUUCAGGUUGCGCUGUUGACUUGUUUUAUUACUUGGUCUGGGCUUAGAUUUGUGCAGUCGGUGCUUGAUGCAGGGACGCAGUAUAGCCUGGUUUCGAGGGAGACAAUGCUGUUAGGGGUGAGGAUGGGGUUGAAAAGUAUGGUUGCUUUGACGUGGACCGUGGUGUUUGGAGUCUUUUAUGGGAGGAUUUGGAGCGCAAAGAAUUCUGCUGGAUUUUGGUCUUCCGAGGCAGACAGGAGAAUAGUGACAUUUCUUGAGGCUGCCUUUGUGUUUGUUAUCCCUGAGUUGCUGGCAGUGUUGUUUUUUAUUCUUCCUUGGAUUAGGAAUGCCCUUGAAGAAUUGGAUUGGAGUAUUUUGUAUGUGUUCACUUGGUGGUUUCACACUCGGAUUUUCGUGGGACGUGGACUGCGGGAAGGGCUUCUUAACAAUAUCAGUUAUACAUUGUUUUGGAUUGCAGUAUUGGCUUCGAAAUUUGUGUUCAGCUAUUUCCUUCAAAUCAAGCCUCUGGUUGCCCCAACUCAGGCUCUGUUGGAUCUCGGGCAGGUGUCUUACAAUUGGCAUGAGUUUUUCAGUAGCAGUAACAGAAUCGCUGUUGUGCUGUUGUGGCUGCCUGUUGUUCUAAUUUAUUUAAUGGAUUUGCAAAUCUGGUAUGCUAUUUUCUCUUCAUUUGUUGGUGCAGCAAUUGGGUUGUUUUCUCACUUGGGUGAGAUUAGGAAUGUUGGACAGCUUAGGCUUAGGUUUCAGUUCUUUGCCAGUGCUAUGCAAUUUAAUCUCAUGCCUGAAGAACAGUUGCUAGGUCCUAAGAUGACACUGGUGAAGAAGCUCCGUGAUGCAAUCCACAGAUUAAAGCUAAGAUAUGGACUUGGCCAGCCUUACAGAAAGAUUGAAUCAAGCCAAGUGGAGGCAACUAGAUUUGCCUUGAUAUGGAAUGAGAUUGUGACAACAUUUCGGGAAGAAGAUCUCAUCAGUGAUCGGGAAUUUGAACUCUUAGAACUGCCACCUAAUUGUUGGAGCAUUAGGGUUAUUCGCUGGCCAUGCAUCUUGCUCAGCAAUGAGUUGUUGCUUGCCCUGAACCAGGCAAAAGAGCUGGCAGAUGCACCUGAUAGGUGGAUUUGGUUGAAGGCAAGUCAAAGUGAGUAUAGACGGUGCGCUAUAAUUGAAGCAUAUGAUAGCAUCAAGUAUUUGCUUCUUAUGGUUGUUAAACAGGGCACAAAAGAGAAUUCUAUUGUUGCAAAUAUUUUUCGAGAAAUAGAUGAGAAAAUACACAUUGAGAAGUUCACCGAGUCUUACAAGAUGAAUCUUCUAGAAGAUAUUCUUUCAAAAUUAAUAUCACUUGUUGAGCUUCUGAUGAGACCAUGGAAAGAUCUUAGCAAAGCAGUGAAUAUAUUGCAGGCCUUGUAUGAGAUUUAUGUUCGAGAAUUUCCAAAAAGUAAGAGGAGCGCUCUGCAAUUGAAACAAGAUGGUUUGGCCCCUCAUGGUCCAGAUUCUGGUGAAGGGUUGCUCUUUGAGAAUGCUAUUGAGUUUCCUGAUGCUGAGGAUGAAUUCUUCAAUAGGCAAGUACGUCGUUUGCACACAGUUCUUACUUCUAGAGACUCGAUGCAUGAUGUCCCAAAGAAUAUCGAGGCAAGGCGACGUAUUGCCUUCUUUAGCAACUCAGUGUUCAUGAACAUGCCCCGUGCUCCCAAUGUCGAGAAAAUGAUGGCUUUCAGUGUUCUGACGCCUUACUAUGAGGAAGAUGUGUGCUUUGGCAAACAAGACAUUCGAUCCCCCAAUGAAGAUGGCAUUUCCAUAAUCUUUUAUCUGCAGAAAAUCUAUGAAGAUGAGUGGAAUAAUUUUAUGGAGCGCAUGCACAGAGAGGGAAUGGAGGAUGAGGAUGAAAUCUGGGAGAAGAGGUCUAGGGAUCUCCGACUUUGGGCUUCGCACAGAGGCCAGACACUAUCCCGCACCGUGAGGGGAAUGAUGUAUUAUUAUCGAGCACUUAAGACACUUUCCUAUUUAGAUUCAGCAUCUGAGAUGGAUAUAAAGAUGGGCACACAAGAACUUGCUUCUCAUCACUCAUUGAGAAACAGUCGUGUUUUGGAUGGUCUUAACUCAAUCAAGCCACCCUCUGCACCUAGACUGACCAAAGCUAGCAGCAACGUCAGUCUUUUGUUUAAAGGGCAUGAGUAUGGGAGUGCUCUGAUGAAAUUUACAUAUGUAGUCGCCUGCCAGUUGUAUGGACAGCAAAAGGCAAAGCCGGACCACCGUGCUGAAGAGAUUCUAUAUCUCAUGAAAAACAAUGAGGCCCUUCGAGUUGCUUAUGUUGAUGAGGUUAACUUGGGGAGAGAUGGAGUGGAGUAUUAUUCAGUUCUUGUGAAGUAUGAUCAGCAGCUGCAGAGGGAAGUGGAGAUUUAUCGGAUCAGAUUACCUGGUUCCAUAAAGAUUGGAGAAGGGAAGCCUGAAAAUCAGAACCAUGCUAUAAUCUUUACUCGUGGUGAUGCAGUCCAGACCAUUGACAUGAACCAGGAUAAUUACUUUGAAGAGGCACUGAAGAUGCGGAAUUUGCUGGAGGAAUUUAAAGCCUUUUAUGGUAUCAGGAGACCAACCAUUUUAGGAGUCCGUGAGAAUAUCUUCACUGGUUCAGUGUCCUCACUUGCUUGGUUCAUGUCAGCUCAGGAGACAAGUUUUGUCACCCUGGGGCAGCGUGUUCUUGCAAACCCUUUGAAGGUGCGAAUGCAUUACGGUCACCCAGAUGUGUUUGAUAGGUUCUGGUUCUUGCCUAGGGGUGGAAUCAGCAAGGCUUCCAAAGUUAUCAAUAUCAGUGAAGAUAUAUUUGCUGGCUUCAAUUGCACGCUUCGAGGUGGCAAUGUGACGCACCAUGAGUAUAUACAGGUAGGUAAGGGAAGGGAUGUUGGCUUGAAUCAGAUUUCAAUGUUUGAGGCAAAGAUUGCAAGUGGCAAUGGUGAGCAGGUUUUGAGCAGGGAUGUAUAUCGAUUGGGCCACAGAUUGGAUUUCUUCCGGAUGCUUUCUUUUUACUACUCAACUGUUGGGUUCUACUUCAACAUGAUGAUGGUGGUCAUGACUGUUUACACAUUCUUAUGGGGUCGCCUUUAUCUUGCUCUCAGUGGUGUUGAGAAAUAUGCACUGAACCAUAGCAGCAACAACAAGGCUCUUGGCACAAUUCUGAACCAGCAGUUCAUUAUCCAGCUAGGACUCUUCACCGCCCUCCCAAUGAUCGUAGAGAACACACUUGAGCAUGGAUUUCUUCCAGCAUUGUGGGACUUUCUGACAAUGCAGUUGCAGCUAGCCUCACUUUUUUACACGUUCUCCAUGGGAACUCGUUCCCAUUUCUUUGGUCGGACUAUUCUUCAUGGGGGUGCCAAAUACCGAGCAACGGGUCGUGGUUUUGUGGUGCAGCACAAGAGCUUUGCUGAGAACUAUAGACUCUAUGCACGAAGCCAUUUCGUGAAGGCAGUUGAACUUGGAGUCAUUCUAACAGUUUAUGCUGCCAACAGCCCAUUGGCUCGGAAUACUUUUGUUUACAUUGCCAUGACUAUAUCUAGCUGGUUCCUUGUGAUUUCAUGGAUAAUGGCCCCCUUCGUGUUCAAUCCUUCUGGUUUUGACUGGCUAAAGACUGUAUAUGACUUUGGAGGUUUUAACAAUUGGAUAUGGUAUAGUGGCGGGGUGUUCACAAAAGCAGAACAAAGCUGGGAAACAUGGUGGUAUGAAGAACAGAGCCAUCUGAGAACAACUGGUCUUUGGGGGAAGCUACUGGAGAUUAUUUUAGAUCUUCGUUUUUUCUUCUUCCAAUAUGGUGUUGUAUAUCAUCUUGACAUUUCUGGUGGAAGCACCAGCAUAGUCGUUUACUUGAUAUCAUGGACAUACAUGGUUGUUGCGGUUGGGAUUUAUGUGAUCAUUGCUUAUGCCAGUGACAAAUUUGCAGCCAAGGAGCACAUCAAAUAUCGUCUAGCACAGCUUACAGUCAUCGUGCUUAUAGUACUAGUGGUUGUUUUAAUGCUGAAAUUCACUAAUUUGACAGUUCUUGAUCUUGUGAGUAGCCUUCUGGCAUUCAUCCCAACAGGGUGGGGCUUUAUUUGCAUUGCCCAGGUACUUAGACCGUUUCUGGAGUCCACUGUUGUGUGGGAUACUGUGGUGUCCUUGGCUCGGCUGUAUGAUUUGCUGUUUGGGGUAAUUGUUAUGGCUCCUGUUGCAUUGCUGUCUUGGUUGCCUGGAUUCCAGUCAAUGCAGACAAGGAUCCUAUUUAACGAGGCAUUCAGCCGAGGACUCCAAAUAUCUCGUAUCCUUACUGGAAAGAAGUCUAACUGAUAUAUAACUUGAGCUGUGUGUUAAAUGAAGUUGGAGAUUCCUCACAACUGCUUUCUGGAUUGUGCAAUGUGAGCGCUAUAAAUUGUGCACGCAAGUUUCUAUGUUGGACUUGAGAACAGAAGUAGACAGGGUGGUGGACUCCUUUCCGACAGACCAAGGAGUUGGUUUUAUUCUAUGCUGCUGCUACCUGAUCUUUACCACUGUCAACUUAAUCCGCUGCUGCCAUAUCAGAUCAUGUUGUUGCAUUCGACUCAUUUCAAGAUCUUCUGCUUGUACAGAAUAAAUAGAAAUGAUUCACAGGAAUUUUGAUCCAGCCGCUCUUUUAUUAUUUUCAUGACUUCGUAAAUAUUGUUGAUAUUGUAAGCUCCAGUGCUAGCUUGUUAGGAGUAGUGCCAAGUAUAUUGCCAGUAAUUCUCUUGAAUUCCAUGUCCAUUGCUAGUUAUUCUGUUGUACUUGUGAGCAUCGAAUAUUGAUUGAAUUGCAUUAAAUAUGAAUUCCGCGUAACACAUUUAGAA